AACGAACGCUGGCGGCAGGCCUAACACAUGCAAGUCGAACGCCGUAGCAAUACGGAGUGGCAGACGGGUGAGUAACGCGUGGGAACAUACCCCUCGGUUCGGAAUAACUCAGGGAAACUUGAGCUAAUACCGGAUAAGUCCGAGGUUUUAAUCGACCUUGGAGAAAGAUUUAUCGCCGGAGGAUUGGCCCGCGUCUGAUUAGCUUGUUGGUGAGGUAAUGGCUCACCAAGGCGACGANCAGUAGCUGGUCUGAGAGGAUGAUCAGCCACAUUGGGACUGAGACACGGCCCAAACUCCUACGGGAGGCAGCAGUGGGGAAUAUUGGACAAUGGGCGCAAGCCUGACCCAGCAACGCCGCGUGAAGGAUGAAAUCCCUCGGGA
rnacentral:rRNA from 1 species